ACUAAAAACUUGAUGUCUUCCCUGAACGAUAUGUCAGCCCGAUCGCAUCAAGCCACUCGUCCGUGGCCAGCUUGGUGGUGGCCAGCCUGUAAAAUGUAAAACUGAAAAUUCCCCUAAGCAGCUUAAGAGUCCUCCUCUCAGAAGAAGUGGGGAGCAUCAAGUCUUGAACCGUAGCCAAAGUUCAUGUAACAGCCAACGACUCAAUACGGGGAGCUACUGAUUUACACACAGAGGCACAUAUGAACGAUGCAUCCAUCUCGUUCGAGAAGCCAAAGCCAGAUCGAAUGCCACAGUUGGAUCCACUGAGUCGGACUCGGACUGUGGCAACAUGAUUGCACGUAUAGUGGAACAAAUUCAUGGCAUCGCGGCAAUCGCAGGCAGCACCUUGGCAAUCAGCAAGGUAAACAACAAGUCCUCAGGAUUCGGGCCAAGUAGGCUGAAGCAAUGAGCUUCUAUUUAUUAAAUUUUGUUAAAAUAUAUAGUGUUUAUAUUAAAUUUUAACCACUUUCUUCUGAUGAUAGGGAUAGUAUACCAUCUAACCCUCAAUAGAGCUCUCCCACAAGUCGUCUAUGCCUGGCUGUGGGGCAUCUUCAUCUUCGGGACCUGACGGAUAAAUCCCUCUGGGCUGUGCGGCUGCCACUGUUCUACGCUUAAUGCGAUGCGCAGUGGAGCCAGAAGACCCGUUUGGACCCUGUCUUCUCUUCCCGUCUUCUUACCAAUUCUUCCCGAUGCUUCUCAAGUCUUCUCGAGGCUCUGAAGCUUCGACGAUGGGCUGUUUUGCGAUGAAAUCAAUAAAUGUAAGGCGACCGCACAGUUUUUUCCUGUGUUCUCAUUCGAGUUAUAUAUGGUGAGUGUGUCUGUAUAUAUCUGUAGGACAUACUACACCGAUCCGGAUGUUAGUAUGUCUGACAAUUUUUGAACCCUAAACCUGGGACUCUCUCCUAUCCAUUCCUACGUAAUUUGUAGGUAGGUUAAUUCGUGGUGGUCCCUCAAAAAAGCUUACCUCAUGUCGGUGGACGUUUCCUUUUCAUAUUCCAAAGCAUUUUUUAAUGGGCUGAGAGGUCCCUCGAAACAUCCUGUAUACAGAAUAUUUGCCUAGGUAAUUUGCCAUCUAAAUUGUUUGUUUUUUUCUGAAAGAUACUUCCAAGAACUAAUUCAACUGUACAUUGAACUUUAUUUAAAUUAAGAUACAUCUUAAUUAGUUUAUAUUUGGGAACUAUUCUGACUGCUUUUCAAAUGAAGUCUUCCAUUAAAUAUCAUGCGAUUAUCUGCAAUCAGUCUGGAUGUGAGUGUCUUCCCUUGAUUAACUGAAAUCACCAUUGAAAUUUUCAAGAAAUUAUUUCGUAGAAAAAGUUUCGCAGAAUCGUUCCAGCCGAAAAGAAGAAUACAAAUCGCUUUUACGGAAUUACGGAAACUGUUGUAAGAAAAGGGGGCCCAGCCGACGACAGAAGACAACGAAGACCGACAGAAGACCGCAGAUCCGACAACAGAUCAGCAGUCCACCAGAUGAGACAAGAUGGGAUGAGACAACAGGUAACAGAAGCCGUAUACGCCAGAUUAACGCCCGAGGCGAGAUGGCUUUGGCAUCAGAAUCGGCAUCGGCAUCGUCUUCAACUUUGACAUUGAUCUCCAGCGACUUUUGCAC